GCGGCCUGCGGCGGGCGGUGCAGGUUCUCUGCCUGCGCCUCACUCGCAGGACCCACGCACGCUUGCCUGCCCAGCGCCCCUUUUUUUUUCUUUCUGCCGUCGCCUGCUUCCUCCUUCCGGGAAAAAGAAGAUCCUACUUUGGAAACAAUCAGCAUCCCGGAGGAGCAGCCCGCCCAGCCAGACCCUGCCCGCCGGCUGCCGUGCAUGUGCCAUCCGCUGCUUUUUAAAUUUUUUGCAGUUUAUUCUGGGCCUGUGUGGAAUAGAGACAGCUCUCCGUGUGACUGGUGGGAGAGAAAGGCGACUCCUCAGGGUUUCCGGGGAGCUGGAGCGGCUGCUCUAAGCGCAGAAUCUGAAAGACCCAAGAGGCACUGGAUCAGGAGAUUAACUUCACGAAGCAGGACAAGGAUUUACAUAUAUCAGGAGCAAACUUCAUGCUCAGAUACAGCUACAGAAUUUGUGGGAUCCAGCAUGAAAAGAAAAUGCAGGGGUCACUUGUUCAGAUAUUAAGAAUUUCAACCAGCUGAGGACAGAGCUCUAACCUAUGCUCAGGGCUUUCCUCUCUUCAGGACCCUUCGUAACUGCACAGGUCAUGAGCUUAUGAGCUCUGAUAGUAUUUUGCUACAAAAAAUUUGUAUGCUUCUGGGUUUGUGACAAAAAUAUGCGGUGUAGUAGAGAAGUCUGAAGCACUUAUCUUUCAAACUGUAUUUCUUUCCUUUGGAAGUGGCCUCCAUGCUGGCCCUUCAGCAGCUGCUGCCCUGCUGCAUGCCUUCAUGUGAGGUGAGCAGGUGACCCUGGUCUAAGGGACAUUAGAGGGUCUCCUCAAGGCUGAGCCCAUCUGAUCUGUCUCUGAGGAUUUGAACCAAGGAAACAAACCCCAAAGUUUUAAAGCAUCAAAGUUGCAAAUAGUCCAGUAUUUGAAGACAACAAAAAGGGAAGCAAUCAAACAGGAUCUUACAUCAGGUAUACAUUUAUCUGGGUUGUGUAGCCCAGGUUGGAGACAGCACAUAGACAGAGGGGACUGGAAAGAGAGAGGAAGCUGGGGGGGGGGCAGUGAGAGAAAUAGAGACAGAGACAGACACAAAAACAGAGACAGAGAAUGAGUAUCUUGUAUGUAAGAUAGACAUUCACUUUCUGCUGAUCUUUUAAUUAAUCUUAAAUUGUAUGUAAAUUUUACUUUUCAUAUCCUUUCGAGGGUAGAAAAUGCUUUUAAAAAGCAACAGAGAGAAAUAGUGGUAGAAGACAGAUUCUGACAACUAGAGUUUUUAGAGAUUUCUUUAUAGAAAUCCACUGUUACUCCACUAAUUGGAUGGAAUUGCGUUUCUUCCAAUCAAUAGGCCCUUAAUAUGGCACACUAUGAUGUGAUUACAGUUAGAGGAAACUGAAUUAAAAGUGCAUUCACCCUAACUGCUUUGAGUCAUGAUGCUUUUUAUUGUAGAAAAUGCAACAGUGUGAUCAUGUUACUAUUAGAACUCAUUUGGAAGUCAUGAAAUAAACCAGCACUGAAAGCCCAAUUGUUUGGCACGACACAAGAGCUCUAGUGGGAUACAGACACUGGUUGCUGCUUUAAAUAGGAAUAUUAUCAUCGGGCACAUCUUUGAUUCCACAAGACCACCAAUAAUUAAGAGGGACACUUUAUGGUACUUCUCCAUUUCCUUUUACUUUUUCAACAUUUAUACCAAGUUAGUAAUUACUCACUUUUAUUUAUUGUACUCAAUAGCAAAUUGCUUGAUCUGUUGCUUACAGUUGAUAUAUCUUUACUAUUUUGUAUCAAUCUUGCUGCAGUACAUUUCUAAAUUUACUAAACUAAGCUCAUACUUUUGUUUUAAUAUAUCUGUCCACAUCUGUUGUCAAACUAUUUGUUUUUGAAUUCCCAUUAAAAUUCAAACUUUUAUAGAAGUAGUUGUCAAACAAAAUGUAUUUUCAUGCAGUUUUAGGGUUCUGUUAAAAUAAAAAAUAUUUGAGUCUUGCAACUAAAAUUAGGAUGAACCCUAAGUAAUUAGUCAGGACUCAUAACUAUUGUAGGCUUUUCCUUCCUUAGAAAGCAUCAUUGUGUGAUGCUGAGCAUUGUCUGCUUGUUUUCCCAUUCAGUCAUAUAAACAAUGCAUGUUCCCUCAGAAUAUAUAGAAUGUGUCAAAAAGAUACAGUGUAAUACAAAAACAUCUUUUACAUAAUAUUUAUUAUAACCAGGUUUAGAAUAUUUUCUUCCAUGUUUUUACUAAACAUUUGCCAUUCAUCCUGAUUUGAUCAUUAU
rnacentral:lncRNA from 1 species